rnacentral:rRNA from 1 species
GAAGAGUUUGAUCCUGGCUCAGAUUGAACGCUGGCGGCAUGCUUUACACAUGCAAGUCGAACGCGGUCGAGGGGUAACUCUUGACUGAGUGGCAACCCUGAUCCAGCCAUGCCGCGUGAGUGAAGAAGGCCUUCGGGUUGUAAAGCUCUUUCGGACGGAACGAAACGGCCGCUGUUAAUACCGGCAGUCACUGACGGUACCGUAAGAAGAAGCACCGGCUAACUACGUGCCAGCAGCCGCGGUAAUACGUAGGGUGCGAGCGUUAAUCGGAAUUACUGGGCGUAAAGCGUGCGCAGGCGGCUCUUUAAGUCAGAUGUGAAAGCCCCGGGCUUAACCUGGGAACUGCGUUUGAAACUGGAGGGCUAGAGUGUGGCAGAGGGAGGUGGAAUUCCACGUGUAGCAGUGAAAUGCGUAGAGAUGUGGAGGAACACCAAUGGCGAAGGCAGCCUCCUGGGCCAACACUGACGCUCAUGCACAAAAGCGUGGGGAGCAAACAGGAUUAGAUACCCUGGUAGUCCACGCCCUAAACGAUGUCAACUGGUUGUUGGGGAAGGAAACUUUCUUAGUAACGAAGCUAACGCGUGAAGUUGACCGCCUGGGGAGUACGGCCGCAAGGUUAAAACUCAAAGGAAUUGACGGGGACCCGCACAAGCGGUGGAUUAUGUGGAUUAAUUCGAUGCAACGCGAAAAACCUUACCUACCCUUGACAUGCCAGGAAGCCCGAUGAGAGUUGGGUGUGCCCGAAAGGGAGCCUGGACACAGGUGCUGCAUGGCUGUCGUCAGCUCGUGUCGUGAGAUGUUGGGUUAAGUCCCGCAACGAGCGCAACCCUUGUCAUUAAUUGCCAUCAUUUGGUUGGGCACUUUAAUGAGACUGCCGGUGACAAACCGGAGGAAGGUGGGGAUGACGUCAAGUCCUCAUGGCCCUUAUGGGUAGGGCUUCACACGUAAUACAAUGGCGCAUACAGAGGGUUGCGAAGCCGCGAGGUGGAGCCAAUCCCAGAAAGUGCGUCGUAGUCCGGAUUGUUCUCUGCAACUCGAGAGCAUGAAGUCGGAAUCGCUAGUAAUCGCGGAUCAGCAUGUCGCGGUGAAUACGUUCCCGGGUCUUGUACACACCGCCCGUCACACCAUGGGAGUGGGUUCCACCAGAAGUAGUUAGCCUAACCGCGAGGGGGGCGAUUACCACGGUGGGAUUCAUGACUGGGGUGAAGUCGUAACAAGGUA